AUUGAACGCUGGCGGCAGGCCUAACACAUGCAAGUCGAGCGAGCGGCGGACGGGGGAGUAAUGUAUGGGGACUGCCCGAUAGAGGGGGAUAACUACUGGAAACGGUAGCGAAUACCGCAUACUAUCGGAUAACCCAUAUGGGAUAAGCUAUUAGGUGAGGUAAUGGCUCACCUAGACGACGAUCCCUAGCUGGUCUGAGAGGUUGAUCAGCCACAAUGGGACUGAGACACGGCCCAGACUCCUACGGAGGCAGCAGUGGGGAAUAUUGCACAAUGGGCGCAAGACUGAUGCAGCCAUGCCGUGUGUAUGAAGAAGGCCCUAGGGUUGUAAAGUACUUUCAGUCGGGAGGCGUUACCGACAGAAGAAGCACCGGCUAACUCCGUGCCAGCAGCCGCGGUAAUUC
rnacentral:rRNA from 1 species